UUGAACGCUGGCGGCAUGCCUUACACAUGCAAGUCGAACGGUAACAGGUUAAGCUGACGAGUGGCGAACGGGUGAGUAACACAUCGGAACGUGCCCAAUCGUGGGGGAUAACGUAGCGAAAGCUACGCUAAUACCGCAUACGAUCUAUGGAUGAAAGCGGGGGAUCGCAAGACCUCGCGCGAAUGGAGCGGCCGAUGGCAGAUUAGGUAGUUGGUGAGGUAAAGGCUCACCAAGCCGACGAUCUGUAGCUGGUCUGAGAGGACGACCAGCCACACUGGGACUGAGACACGGCCCAGACUCCUACGGGAGGCAGCAGUGGGGAAUUUUGGACAAUGGGCGCAAGCCUGAUCCAGCAAUGCCGCGUGCAGGAUGAAGGCCUUCGGGUUGUAAACUGCUUUUGUACGGAACGAAACGGCGAGCUCUAAUACAGUUUGCUAAUGACGGUACCGUAAGAAUAAGCACCGGCUAACUACGU
rnacentral:rRNA from 1 species